CAGCCGCCGCGGUAAUGCGUAGGUCCCGAGCGUUGUCCGGAUUUAUUGGGCGUAAAGCGAGCGCAGGCGGUUAGAUAAGUCUGAAGUUAAAGGCUGUGGCUUAACCAUAGUACGCUUUGGAAACUGUUUAACUUGAGUGCAAAAGGGGAGAGUGGAAUUCCAUGUGUAGCGGUGAAAUGCGUAGAUAUAUGGAGGAACACCGGUGGCGAAAGCGGCUCUCUGGCUUGUAACUGACGCUGAGGCUCGAAAGCGUGGGGAGCAAACAGGAUUAGAUACCCCCGUAGUCCCUGUCUCUUAUACA
rnacentral:rRNA from 1 species